rnacentral:rRNA from 1 species
AUGUGCCCAGAUGGGAUUAGCUUGUUGGUGAGGUAAAGGCUCACCAAGGCGACGAUCCCUAGCUGGUCUGAGAGGAUGACCAGCCACACUGGAACUGAGACACGGUCCAGACUCCUACGGGAGGCAGCAGUGGGGAAUAUUGCACAAUGGGCGCAAGCCUGAUGCAGCCAUGCCGCGUGUGUGAAGAAGGCCUUCGGGUUGUAAAGCACUUUCAGCGGGGAGGAAGGCGGUGAGUUUAAUAAGCUCACCGAUUGACGUUACCCGCAGAAGAAGCACCGGCUAACUCCGUGCCAGCAGCCGCGGUAAUACGGAGGGUGCAAGCGUUAAUCGGAAUUACUGGGCGUAAAGCGCACGCAGGCGGUCUGUCAAGUCGGAUGUGAAAUCCCCGGGCUCAACCUGGGAACUGCAUUCGAAACUGGCAGGCUAGAGUCUUGUAGAGGGGGGUAGAAUUCCAGGUGUAGCGGUGAAAUGCGUAGAGAUCUGGAGGAAUACCGGUGGCGAAGGCGGCCCCCUGGACAAACACUGACGCUCAGGUGCGAAAGCGGGGGGAGCAAACAGGGUUAGAUACCCUGGUAGUCCACACCGUAAACGAUGUCGACUUGUAAGGUGUGCCCUUGAGGCAUGGCUUCCCGAUCUAACACGUUAAAUCCACCGCCUGAGGAGUACUGCCGCAAAGUUAAAACUCGAAUAAAUUCACGCGUGCCCGCACAACCGGGGGAGGUGGUGUUUAAUUCAAUA